ACAAGUUCUGCCUUUGGGUUUUCAUACAAAGCAGUGGUAACUCCACAUAGCCAGAGUCACCCUGGGGUUAUCCCAUGGACACAGAGCAGGCCACCUCUGGCCAGCGUCACCAAGCUCAUUCAGACCUGGCCCUGAGAGUAACGUGGGGUGAUUGCAGCUGCGUAGUGAAUCACCACAGAGCUGCUGCUGCCCCAGUUAGCACAGCUCCAACAGUACCAUCUACUCAUUCGCCUUUUCCCAUAUCAGGAGAACAACACAUUGAGAAUGAGGCAUCAGCAUCGAAAUGUACAGACAGCACCAUCUUUUGGAAGCCUCCCAGCUGAUCUCUAAGGAAGGCUGCCCAAAAGAAGGGAUUGGAGCUUCCUGGACAACUGACACACCUUUCUGACUCCUCCAGAUUUGACCAGUAUGUGAAAUAUUCCCUGCUCACAACUGCCCAGAUUGCCAGGAAUUCCACAGGUCCACCAGGCUUGCUGCUGCCUCAGGAGCCAUCAGGAUCCAUCCCAACCCCUGGUACUCACCUCACAGACAUGGUGGCUGUCGACAAUAGUGUUCCAAAAGGCUGCCUCAAUGCUUGUCCCUGGCUCUGAGCUGCAUGCAACCAGCUCCUGAUGCUGCAGGACAAGAUAUGGACCCUUCUUUUCCCUCAGGAGAUAUCCCCUGGGGUUGACUUGCAAUUUCUAACCCAUUCCUUGGACUGGUUUCCAAUUUUAGCCACCGGUUUGCAGAGUUUAAAACAUCUCUGAUGCCCUGUAGUGACAGGCCAAGGAGUAAUAGGUGUAAAAUGAAAGGAAAUUUACGUUAGAUGUUAGGAAGAAAUUUUUAACUGUGAGGGUGGUGAGACACUGGAGCAAGUUCCCCAGGCGAGUUGUGGAGGUUCCAGCCCUGAAAGUGUUCAAAGCCAGGCUGGAUGGGGCUUGGAGCUACCUGGUCUAGUGGGAGGUGUCCCUGCCCAUGGCAGGGGCCUUGGGACUAGAUGAUCUUCCAUUCCAUCCUUAAGGUCCAUUCCAUCCUUAACAUACUAUGACCCUAUGGUUUCCUUCCCAUGCACUUAGAGGAACUUGGAAAUCCAUUCCAUGAAGGCACAAAGCUCAUUAAGAGUUUGGCAGUUGCUUCCUGGCAAAUUGGCAGGCAGCAAUCGCCAAAUCACCUGGCCCAGUAGCACAUGACCUUGUUGCCAAAGUCCUCAGUUUCUGACACUCAGAACUGUGUUCUGUUUCCACAGUCUGAGAGCUGCAAGGUGACAAUUCCCACACAGGGAGAGAAGCAGGUGCUGGCCAAGGGUGGUCCUUCCACAAACAGCCUGGGCUCAGCAGGGCUCAGCCACCUCUGGCCUGGUGGUGUCUGGCAGUGGGAGGUGAGCCGGGGUCAGGGAACACAUUUCUAAGCCAGCUCCUACUGCCUGAUGACGGAUCCAGGUCAAAUGGACCCAAAUGGAGUCCUGCGAGCCUUUCUUCAGAGCAUCGAUGAUGAGUGAACAACAGAAAAAGCCCAAGGAAACACUCCAAACCCAGCUCAACACACCGCUGGAAGCUCUUAAUGCUCAGCUGAUCAGCUCCCACUCUCCACAAUAUUCCUGCUGCUCUGACACAAGCUCUUGGUCACAUCACGCUGCUGUCAGCCACAGUGGUAUGUAACUGCCACUGGGCACUGAUGACCCUUGGCCUCAGAUGGGCCAUAGGAGUAACCAAGAAGAGAACAUGAUCCCCUUCCUUGGAAAUAAAAAUAUUAGAUUAACCUGUUUGGAAAGAAAGCAGAGGCUGGGAUUAUUCUAGGGUUUACUCCAAGAUGAGAAGGGAUUUUGCACUGCGCAGGCAGCAGGCAUUCAUCAUCUCUCACAAUGCCAACACUCAGAAUCAGGGCUCUGGCUGAUGGGAGGACGUGGGGGGUUGCUUACAUAAGCAGAAAAGGAGAAGGUUUUUUGUCCCUGUGUGCAAAAGAACUCAAAAGGCCCAUUUAAACUUCCCACCCUUGUGUCCAGGCUCACAAACGACACUGGAAGGGAGACUCACAAACAGUGCAAGUCAUGCUUACAGGAAGG